AGCAGCCGCGGUAAUUCCAGCUCCAAUAGCGUAUAUUAAAGUUGUCGCAGUUAAAAAGCUCGUAGUUGAAUUUCGAGACCGGUUUACUGGUCGUGCUUUUGUACGUACUGGUAUUAUUGGUUUCUCCUUUCUGACGAAUCAUAAUGCCAUUAAUUUGGUGUUUUGGGGAAUCAGGACUGUUACUUUGAAAAAAUUAGAGUGUUUAAAGCAGGCUCACGCUUGAAUACAUUAGCAUGGAAUAACGAAAUAGGACGUUUGAUUUUAUUUUGUUGGUCUCCAGGAUCGACGUAAUGAUUAAUAGGGAUAGUUGGGGGCAUUAGUAUUCAAUUGUCAGAGGUGAAAUUCUUGGAUUUAUUGAAGACUAACUACUGCGAAAGCAUUUGCCAAGGAUGUUUUCAUUAAUCAAGAACGAAAGUUAGGGGAUCGAAGACGAUCAGAUACCGUCGUAGUCUUAACCAUAAACUAUGCCGACUAGGGAUCGGAUGAUGUUAAUUUUUUAAUGACUCAUUCGGCGCCUUACGG
rnacentral:rRNA from 1 species